ACUGACUUGAAGUCUGUGGAUCUGGAGCUAUUCCCAGAACCACCAGAAUAGACCUUGGUAGUGAAGAUUUGAUGUUUGGUUGGCUAGCAUGAGCAACCAAAGGGGCUUUCAAUGCUGCAGUUCUAUUCAGUGCAUUUUCCAGCUGCGGAGGAGGUAGCUGAAGCAACACACUGAAUGACUGAGGCUUUGUCNNNUCAAGAAUCCAACCCACAACUUCGGGUAUUUCCAUAUCUGCUUGUUAACAAGACGAGAAAGGAUCUCCAUUAUAAAUUCCACCAGUGCUGGAAAAGCACCUAUAGCUUGUAACACUUGUAACACCGUACGCAUGAAUAACAAAGGAAGAGGAAUCUGCUCAACCAACUGAUUCAAAACUUUCGCAAUAACUUGUUGAGUAAAUAUCUGCCGUUGCUCGAAACAAGCAUUACAUGCAUCUGUGACCUUCUUCAAGGGAAUUCC
rnacentral:misc_RNA from 1 species